CUCGGUCUUUUCGCAUUAGAUGUCAGUUGGCAAGCCGUAGGGCUUAUUUGCAAGCGUAUGUUCCUUUGUUUGACGCGAACGACGUCGAUAAAAUCCAAACAAUAUUUGGAAAAAUAGUAGACGGUUGAUGUUGGUGAAUAGACCAGCGUUGGAUGAUUGACGGACUGUUUGGAAGUGUUCGGAGAUUUCAUAUCUACAAUGAACAAAAUUAUAAACACUUGUUUUUGCCCCCAUUUUUCAUGAGCUGAAUUUAUGCACUUCUUCUUUUGCCCAGAUGAUCCAUCCACCUCACAGGUGUGGCAGAUCAAGAUGCUGAUUGAACAGCAUAAUUAUUGCACAGAUGUACCUUAGGCUGGCCUUAAUAAAAGGCCACUCUAAAAUGUGCAGUUUUAUCACCAUAGGCCUUUUGUGUACACAAAGUCUUAAAUCUUUUGAGUUCGGCUCAUGAGAAAUGGGGACGAAAACAAAAGUGGUUAUCAUUUUGUUCAGUGUAAAUGUGACCUUGUGGGUAAUCACAGAUUUGCCAAUUACAUAAGUUUUUGCAAUAUGUGAAGGUUGAAUUCUCCUGUUUCUGUCUAAAUGGGGUUUGGGAGCUUCAAUGUGCAACACGGAUGAUUUUCAAGACUUGAAAGAGGAUGUGCAGUCUGCAAAGAGAUUAUGGUGUGUAAAAAUUUGCAUCAACAAAGAGGGGAAAAAAGUGAAGGUAUUCCCCAACUUAUGGCGAUGCAUUGCAAUGACUCCGCCGUAACUUAAUAAUGUAGGUUGUGAAUCCAAGAAUCUUCAGUCAGUAUGGAGUAGUGUACUGUAAUGUUAUAAAUUAAAUCAUUCAGCAAAACAGCAGUUUAUAGUACCGUAAUGUAUCAACUCUUUGCUGUGUUGGGCGUGUGAAUGAGGGGGCGGAGCCCGACACGCAAUUUGAAUAUACUCUCUUCAAAAAUCGUACGUUGAUCCGACGUAACUUGGGGACUGCCUGUACACCUUUAUGUGCACUUAUUAGAAAGGGGUGUUUUUGUGUGUUGGCAUGUUGGGAUUAUGUAAUACAAAGACUUCGUCUUAGAUGUAUUUGGUUAGCACUCAUUAUUACUGAGUUUGUAUGUACAUGCUACAUUUUUUGCCAAAUUGAUCAACCCUGAUAAAGCAAUUAUUAGUAAUGGAGAAAAUGUUUGCCUCAAGACUAAUUAAUAUUUGACCAGAAUGAAGAGGUGGAGAUUAAUUGUAAAUUGUAGACGAAUUAAUAAUACAAUGAGUAAAUGUACACUGAUGCUAUUGGAGAUGGGCAUUGAGUCAGUGUGGGUUUUAAAUGUCUCUUCCCACAUGCCAGGCUUUACUUCCUCUUCUCCCUGAAGUAGAUACACAGAUGGCAAGCAGAUUGACUUGACAGAAAUGUAGUCAGACAGACUGAUGCCUUGUACAUGCACAGUUGUAAUGUAUAGACUGAUAUGCAUAGAUUUAGAUAGACAUUCAGAGAUUACCUGUUUGAGAUACAGGUCUCAGACACUAAUAUAGAUCACAUGCAGAGUUUUUUUUUUUUUGGUUGCAUUUUUGUUCAAAUUCACCUCCUCAUAUUGGCACACGCUGUGUUUCCUGUGCCUGUGUGUGUAAUCUAAGGAGGUACAUUAUCUUGUCAUUAUAUAGCUGGCAUCAGGAAUUGUUUCCUGUGCCAGCUAUUGCUUGGCGACAGUUUGAUAAGAUGCACAUGAGCCGUAUCUAAUGCAGAGUGUUUCUUGCUUUCAGGUCCAUAUGGAGCUCUUCAUUUAGGUUGGUUCUUGUGCUACUGUAUAUGUUGUACCUGUGCAGGUUUUUUUAUGUAUUUGGUUGUCUGAUGCUAUGUACAUGCACUUAACAAUAAAUAUUUAUUUUUGACUUCC